rnacentral:lncRNA from 1 species
UUCUCAAUAUAAAAUUGUUCUCUCUUAUAAAAUCAAAAGCUUACAAACUAUUUAUAGGCUAUAGUCUACCAUUUAAAACAACAAAAAAUAGAAAAUAUUAAAAUCUAAUAAUAACCAUAAACCAAUGACUCUUGACCUUUCAUUUUCCUAAACAAAAAACUACUAAUUUAAACCCAUUAAAAAACAAUAUAACUCUUGACCUUUCAACUCUUGACCUUUCACUUACAUGACUCUUAACUUUCAUUUAAGUUUAUUUAACAAAACUCCCCUGUAAACUUAAAUGCUUCUGCCAUCCUUCAUGCCGAUUAAUUUCUUGUAGUUGUCGAAGAGUAUCAUCGGUAGCGGUUUUGUAAAGAUAUCCGCGACUUGGUCCCGACUUGCCACGUGCACUAAUUUCACACUUCCUUCCUUUACAUGAUCUCGGAUGAAAUGAAAACGAAUGUCAAUGUGUUUGCUUCUCUCAUGAUUCACUGGGUUCCUUGCCAACUCAAUCGCUGAUUUAUUGUCAACUCGUAUCUCAGUUGCACCAAGUUGUUGUUGCUCCAACUCACCCAACAAAUUUCUGAGCCAUAUAGCGUGACACACACACCAAGAUGCUGCCACAUAUUCAGCUUCACAUGUCGAUAGUGUCACGAUUGGUUGCUUCUUUGAAAGCCAAGCAAAUGCUGUGUUACCCAUAAAGAACACAUAUCCCGAUGUACUUUUCCGAUCAUCUAAGUCUCCGCACCAAUCACUGUCGGAAUACCCAAUCAACUUGUAAUCUUCCAUAUUUGAAUAAAAUAACCCGUGUGACACCGUUCCUUGAAUGUACCGUAGGAUUCGUUUCAACGCCUUCCAAUGUGAAUAAACCGGCUCCUCCAUGAACCGACUUACAAUGCCAACACUUAGCGAAAUGUCAGGCCUUGUGCAAGUGAGAUAGCGAAGGCUUCCCACCAAACUUCGGUAUUUACUUGCGUCGACUCGUUCUCCUCCAUCAAAUUUCGAGAGUUUUACACCUGGUUCCAUUGAUGUUGAUACCGAGUUGCAAUGUGUCAUCUUGUACUUCUUCAAAAUUUCCUUUGCAUAUGCCUCCUGUGACACAAAAAUACCUGUCCUUUCUUGUCGAACCUCCAAACCAAGGAAAAUUUUCAUUAAACCCAAAUCUGUCAUNNNNNNNNNNNNNNNNNNNNNNNNNNNNNNNNNNNNNNNNNNNNNNNNNNNNNNNNNNNNNNNNNNNNNNNNNNNNNNNNNNNNNNNNNNNNNNNNNNNNCCCCAUAAAAAUGAGGUCAUCGACAUAAAGAGCAACAAAUAACAUAUUACCUCCAUUCUUCUUCACGUAGAGGGCAUGUUCAUAAGGACAUUGUUUGAACCCAUUCUCCUUGAAGUAUGUAUCGAUACGAGUAUUCCAUGCCCGCGGUGCUUGCUUCAACCCGUAAAGUGCCUUCUUCAAUUUCAGCACCUUUUUCUCCUCUCCAUUUUUCAUGUACCCGGGUGGUUGUUCGAUGUAGACUUCUUCUUCGAGCACACCAUUCAAGAAUGCCGACUUGACAUCCAUUUGAAAUAUUGGCCAUUUAAAUUGUGCCGCUUGUACAAUGAGCAGCCGGAUUGUCUCCAUUCUUACAACAGGAGCAAAUACCUCAUCAUAAUCGAUCCCCUCCUUUUGUUUAUAUCCCUUUGCAACAAGUCGCGCCUUGUACCAUUCUAACUCGCCUUGAGCAUUCAUCUUUCUUUUGAACACCCACUUCACACUAAUGGGUUGACUUCCUUUCGGCAAUUCUGUUAACUCCCAUGUGUUGUUGCGGUCAAUUGCUUUAAUCUCCUCAUCCAUAGCAGUUUGUCACUUCUUGUCCCGUGCAGCCUCUUCAAAACUUAUAAUCUCAGAAUCUGCCAAAAGACAUACAAUAUGCACCUCAUUUGUUGAAUCAUACAAAUCUUGCAAACUUCGCAUUUUUGGUUGUUGCGGUUCAUCUUCAUCAUUGGUAGUUUCAGGAUUUGUCAGUAUGAUUGUUGGUGUAGCGAUUGAUGAUCCUCCAUCUUUGGUGAUAACCUCCGUUGAGUUAUUCCAAUCUCACUCGCUUGCUUCAUUGAAGCGUACAUCACGACUUACCACAACCUUCUUACUUAUCGGGUCGAGUAGCUUGUAUCCUUUUGUUUUCUCAUCAUACCCAAUAAAAAUAAACAUUUUGCUUUUGUCUUCGAGCUUCGUUCUUCGCUGAUCCGGCACAUGUGCAUAGGCCUCACUACCGAAUACUUUAAGAUGAGAAACUGAUGGUUUUUGUCCGCUCCAAGCUUCUUGUGGUGUUUGAUCAUCCAACUUCGCAUGUGGACAUCGAUUUUGCACAUAGAUGGCACAUUGCACGGCUUCCGCCCAAAAUUCCUUCGGCAUCUUCUUGCUCUUGAGCAUUGAUCGAACCAUGUCGAGAAUAGUCCGAUUCUUCCUCUCGGCCACACCAUUUUGUUGGGGAGAGUACGGUGCGGUUAGGAAUCAUCUUAUGCCUUGCUCCUCACAAUACUCCAUGAAAGCCGUCGAAGUAUACUCGCCACCUCUAUCAGAUCGUACAGAUUUGAUGUGUCUACCAGUUGUUUUUUCCACCAUCACUUUGAACUUUUUGAACACCUCAAAUGCCUCGGAUUUUUUUUUAAGAAAAUAAACCCAAGUUUUUCAUGAGAAAUCAUCGAUAAAAGAAAUGAAAUACCUUUUACCGCUAAAAGAUUCAGGGGUGAUUGGUCCACAUAUGUCGGUAUGAAUCAAUUCGAGAAGUUGCUUAGCCUGAUAUUCUGCCUUCUUUUGAAAUGAAGUUCUCGCAUGCUUACCGAGCACACAUUCUUCACAAAAUUUUCCCUCAUAGUCCAUGUCUGGUAGCCCAUGCACCACAUUCUUCUUUGCCAACUCGUUUAGACCACCAUAAUGUAGAUGGCCAAAACGGAGAUGCCAUAGCAACGCCUUGUCUUCAACAUCAACUCGCAAACAUUUUCCUCGAACACUUCUCAGAUUCAACCUGAACAUGCGAUUUCUCUCUAUUUCAACUCGAGCGACCAAACACCCUUCCUUAUCUUUCAAGUGUAACACCCGAUCUUUCAUAAGUACCGAAUAACCUUUUUCCAUGAGUUGCCCCAUACUCAAAAUGUUGCUCUUGAGGUCUGGUACGUAAUACACAUCAUGGAUUGACCCAAUUAACCCGUCAUUUUGUAAAUAACAAAUGGUACCUUGGCCUUUUACCUCAACCUUCGACGCAUCUCCAAAUGACACAUGUCCCGUUUCAACCUUUUGCAUCUCUUUGAAUAGGUGCUUGAGCCCACACAUAUGGUUGCUUGCACCCGUGUCAAGGUACCACACCAUGUUGGUGUUGGUGUUGACUUCGUUGUGUGCCAUCAAGAGAAAACCUUCUUUUGCCUCCUCAUUUUUUGUGGUUAGGUUGGUUGUCUCUUCCACCUUUUUCGAGAAGCGACAUUCUUUCGCGAAGUGUCCCGCCUUACCACAAUUGUAACACUUAUCAGAGUUACAAUCCUUCACAUAGUGACCAUAUUUGCCACACUUGUAGCACUCGACAUUGGAAUAAUUCGACCAUUCGCGUCUUCCACGACCACGUCUUCUUCCCCGCCAAUUUUGUUGGUUUGAAUGCACAUUCUCUUCAUAAUUCCCUUCUUGGCCACGACCUUUUCCACCACGACCAUUUCCUCGAUCUCCACGACCACGGCCUCUACCUCGAAAGCUUUGAGAAUAGAGAACCUUUUCGUCUUUGAUUGAUGCCUUGGUUUGAAGUGCUUGCUCGAGUGUCUCCUCUUUCUUCUUCUUCUUACGUUGUUCAUGUGCCUCGAGAGAACCGGCGAGUUCAUCGACUGUAAGCGUUGCUAGAUCUUUUGACUCUUCUAUGGCACAUACGACAUUUUCGAAACUGUCAGUUAACGAUCUCAAAAUCUUCUCCACAACUUGUGCAUCAGUUAACGCUUCUCCGUUUCGGUUGAGUUGGUUCACCACGGUUUGAACACGCGUGAUGUAGUCGGAGACACCUUCUGACUUCUUCAUCUUCAUGCCUUCCAGCUCGCCACGAAGAGUUUGAAGUCGGACUUGUUUAACUCGGUCGGCUCCUUUGUACACCUUUGCUAAAAUGUCCCAUGCUUCUUUUGAAGUUGUCGCACUUGCAAUCUUCUCAAAGCCCGACUCAUCAACGGCUCGAAAUAACAUGUACAAUGCCGCCUUAUCUUUCGACCGCAUUUCUUUCAAUGCCUUGUUUUGAGCCGCCGUAUAUCCCGCAGUAGUUGUCGGUUCUACGAAAACUUCUUGGACCACCUCCCAACCAUCUUGAGACCCGAGAAGAGCUUUCAUUUGGAUGCUCCAAUUCUCAUAGUUCACCUUUGUUAGUCGAGGCAAUGGCACAUUACUAGUCACACUCUCCAUAGCUCAGAUACCAAAUUGUGGAAAAUGUUCUCAAUAUAAAAUUAUUCUCUCUUAUAAAAUCAAAAGCUUACAAACUAUUUAUAGGCUAUACUCUACCAUUUAAAACAACAAAAAAUAGAAAAUAUUAAAAUCUAAUAAUAACCAUAAACCAAUGACUCUUGACCUUUCAUUUUCCUAAACAAAAAACUACUAAUUUAAACCCAUUAAAAAACAAUAUAACUCUUGACCUUUCAACUCUUGACCUUUCACUUACAUGACUCUUAACUUUCAUUUAAGUUUAUUUAAC